rnacentral:rRNA from 1 species
UUGAUGCGGCAGCUACCAUGCAAGUCGAGCGCACCCUUCGGGGCGAGCGGCGGACGGGUUAGUAACGCGUGGGAACGUACCCUUUUCUACGGAAUAGCCUCGGGAAACUGAGAGUAAUACCGUAUAAGCCCUUCGGGGGAAAGAUUUAUCGGUAAAGGAUCGGCCCGCGUUAGAUUAGAUAGUUGGUGGGGUAAUGGCCUACCAAGUCUACGAUCUAUAGCUGGUUUUAGAGGAUGAUCAGCAACACUGGGACUGAGACACGGCCCAGACUCCUACGGGAGGCAGCAGUGGGGAAUCUUAGACAAUGGGCGCAAGCCUGAUCUAGCCAUGCCGCGUGUGUGAUGAAGGCCUUAGGGUCGUAAAGCACUUUCGCCAGGGAUGAUAAUGACAGUACCUGGUAAAGAAACCCCGGCUAACUCCGUGCCAGCAGCCGCGGUAAUACGGAGGGGGUUAGCGUUGUUCGGAAUUACUGGGCGUAAAGCGUACGUAGGCGGAUCAGAAAGUAGGGGGUGAAAUCCCGAGGCUCAACCUCGGAACUGCCUCCUAAACUCCUGGUCUUGAGUUCGAGAGAGGUGAGUGGAAUUCCAAGUGUAGAGGUGAAAUUCGUAGA